rnacentral:rRNA from 1 species
AACAGGAUUAGAUACCCUGGUAGUCCACGCCGUAAACGAUGUCGACUCGGAGGUUGUGCCCUUGAGGCGUGGCUUCCGGAGCUAACGCGUUAAGUCGACCGCCUGGGGAGUACGGCCGCAAGGUUAAAACUCAAAUGAAUUGACGGGGGCCCGCACAAGCGGUGGAGCAUGUGGUUUAGUUCGAUGCAACGCGAAGAACCUUACCUGGUCUUGACAUCCACAGAACUUUCCAGAGAUGGAUUGGUGCCUUCGGGAACUGUGAGACAGGUGCUGCAUGGCUGUCGUCAGCUCGUGUUGUGAAAUGUUGGGUUAAGUCCCGCAACGAGCGCAACCCUUAUCCUUUGUUGCCAGCGGUCCGGCCGGGAACUCAAAGGAGACUGCCAGUGAUAAACUGGAGGAAGGUGGGGAUGACGUCAAGUCAUCAUGGCCCUUACGACCAGGGCUACACACGUGCUACAAUGGCGCAUACAAAGAGAAGCGACCUCGCGAGAGCAAGCGGACCUCAUAAAGUGCGUCGUAGUCCGGAUUGGAGUCUGCAACUCGACUCCAUGAAGUCGGAAUCGCUAGUAAUCGUGGAUCAGAAUGCCACGGUGAAUACGUUCCCGGGCCUUGUACACACCGCCCGUCACACCAUGGGAGUGGGUUGCAAAAGAAGUAGGUAGCUUAACCUUCGGGAGGGCGCUUACCACUUUGUGAUUCAUGACUGGGGUGAAGUCGUAACAAGGUAACC